rnacentral:lncRNA from 1 species
GGACUGCAGCCCCAGCUGAGGACAUCGGGAUGACACUGGCCGAGGCCGGGCACCUUGGCUGCUCAAGGAGGCUCGCGCUUCCCUCUCUGUCGCGGGUGCCACCGACCCGUCCGGGGCCGAAGGACUGCGGAGGCUCCGAGCAGUGGGAGUUUUCACUUGGGCCGUCACGCAGCACCGCUCGCCGCCUCUCCCUCUGCUCUCCUGCACCGUCCCCAGCCUCUCCGUGGGAGGAGAUCAGCCCCCUGCACCCCGCAGUCCAGUCACCUCGGUCAUAUCAGCCCCCGACACCCUCCCGCCACAUCGUUUCAAGCGCUUUGGUCUCGUGCACUGGGCGUUGAGCUUGGUCGGUCCUCGCUGCGAAGACACCUUGGCGGUGGGCGCCGCCGAACCAUGCUCUGCCGCGGAGCAGCGCGUGAGUUGUAUUUUUGUUAUUGGUUUGUUCCGCGCCGCGCUCCAACCCCCUACCCCCACCCC